CCUACGGGAGGCAGCAGUCGAGAAUUAUUCACAAUGGGGGAAACCCUGAUGGUGCGACGCCGCGUGGGGGAAUGAAGGUCUUCGGAUUGUAAACCCCUGUCAUGUGGGAGCAAAUUAAAAAGAUAGUACCACAAGAGGAAGAGACGCCUAACUCUGUGCCAGCAGCCGCGGUAAUACAGAGGUCUCAAGCGUUGUUCGGAAUCACUGGGCGUAAAGCGUGCGUAGGCUGUUUCGUAAGUCGUGUGUGAAAGGCGCGGGCUCAACCCGCGGACGGCACAUGAUACUGCGAGACUAGAGUAAGGGAGGGGGAAGCGGAAUUCUCGGUGUAGCAGUGAAAUGCGUAGAUAUCGAGAGGAACACUCGUGGCGAAGGCGGGUUCCUGGACAUUAACUGACGCUGAGGCACGAAGGCCAGGGGAGCGAAAGGGAUUAGAUACCCCAGUAGUC
rnacentral:rRNA from 1 species